rnacentral:rRNA from 1 species
AGCGAACGCUGGCGGCAGGCCUAACACAUGCAAGUCGAGCGCCCAGCAAUGGGAGCGGCAGACGGGAUAGUAACACGUGGGAACGUACCUUUCAGUUCGGAACAACCCAGGGAAACUUGGGCUAAUACCGAAUACGUCCGUAAGGAGAAAGAUUUAUCGCUGAAAGAUCGGCCCGCGUCUGAUUAGCUAGUUGGUGAGGUAAUGGCUCACCAAGGCGACGAUCAGUAGCNGGUCUGAGAGGAUGAUCAGCAUCACUGGGACUGAGACACGGCCCAGACUCCUACGGGAGGCAGCAGUGGGGAAUAUUGGACAAUGGGCGCAAGCCUGAUCCAGCCAUGCCGCGUGGAUGAUGAAGGCCUUAGGGUUGUAAAGUCCUUUCGG